rnacentral:rRNA from 1 species
AUUGAACGCUGGCGGCAUGCCUUACACAUGCAAGUCGAACGGCAGCAUGGAAGAGCUCGCUCUUCUGAUGGCGAGUGGCGAACGGGUGAGUAAAGCAUCGGAACGUACCGUGUAGUGGGGAUAACGUAGCGAAAGUUACGCUAAUACCGCAUACGCACUGAGGUGGAAAAGCAGGGGAUCGCAAGACCUUGCGCUAUACGAGCGGCCGAUGUCAGAUUAGCUAGUUGGUAGGGUAAAGGCCUGCCAAGGCGACGAUCUGUAGCGGGUCUGAGAGGAUGAUCCGCCACACUGGGACUGAGACACGGCCCAGACUCCUACGGGAGGCAGCAGUGGGGAAUUUUGGACAAUGGGCGAAAGCCUGAUCUAGCCAUGCCGCGUGAGUGAAGAAGGCCUCGGUGUAAG